CAAGGGAGCAGAUCUCUCGACACCCGAUGGGCCUCUAUUCCGUUCCGGCAGCUGUCCGUGUCAGGAGCGCUGGGCUUGCUCCUCCCCACGGGAGCCAUCACAGAGGCCUCGGGCAGUCUGCAUAGACAACUGCCUGGCAGGUGACCAGGAGGGGAUGCAUGAGCAGAUGCAGAUGAAAUUGUGCUCCAAGUGUUUUCCAAGGUUCCGUAUGACCCAUCAUUUGAUGAAACAAGAACAGCAGUCAGAUCCAUUACAAAGAGAGACACACAAAAAA
rnacentral:sRNA from 1 species